rnacentral:rRNA from 1 species
UACAGAGGUCUCAAGCGUUGUUCGGAAUCACUGGGCGUAAAGGGUGCGUAGGCGGCUUGGUGGGUCUGGUGUGAAAGCCCCGGGCUCAGCCCGGGAAGGGCACUAGAAACUGCCGAGCUGGAGUGCCGGAGGGGAGAGUGGAAUUCCUGGUGUAGCGGUGAAAUGCGUAGAUAUCAGGAGGAAUACCGGUGGCGAAAGCGACUCUCUGGACGGCAACUGACGCUGAGGCACGAAAGCGUGGGGAGCAAACAGG